UACGAAGGGGGCUAGCGUUGUUCGGAAUCACUGGGCGUAAAGCGCACGUAGGCGGCGCGUUAAGUCAGGGGUGAAAUCCUGGAGCUCAACUCCAGAACUGCCUUUGAUACUGGCGUGCUCGAGUGUGGGAGAGGUUGGUGGAACUCCGAGUGUAGAGGUGAAAUUCGUAGAUAUUCGGAAGAACACCAGUGGCGAAGGCGGCCAACUGGCCCAUUACUGACGCUGAGGUGCGAAAGCGUGGGGAGCAAACAGG
rnacentral:rRNA from 1 species